AUCACAGGCAGUGGAGAGAAGAGCCAAUGUCAAAUACAAUAUGAAAGAAGUUCAUCUCAGAAACCUCACGGCUCCUGUCAGCUCCUUUCAGAUAGAAGAACCACUAGUUCCUGACAGCAUGUGCCUGGCGUGCAGUUCAGGGAUGUGACAUAAUGGAUCAAGGCCAUUCUGUAGUCUGUGGAGCCAUUACCUUUGCACAAAGAGCAAGUACCUGAGCUGCUACAAAUGAAAUAGCACACGCGCUCUGGAGAACGCAUGGGCGGUGUGGAGACUGGGCAUGCCUAGAAGACACGAGGCCACUGGGGCAGGGCCUGGGCCUCCAAGGACAAACACACCAAGGCGAAGUUUCUCACAGUAGAUGGAUCUAUCUUGGAAUCAAUGCUGUGCUCCCUGGAGGGAUCCAUAACCCACUCACUCCAGCAGUUUGUCUCACAUGGAAGCACCAGAUUGCUGAAUCUGUGGAGGUCAACUGCAGAACUACAAGGGCUUUCUCCUAUGGGCCUAGUCCUCCAUGAUUUCUAAUAACAAGAAGCAAACACAAGAUUUCAGGGCUCUCCUGCUGCUGCUUCCAUAUUAGGUGGUCGUCAAGCGACCACAGCCUGACAGGCCAUUAUUAUCCCAUUAACUAUGCCAUUGACUUAUACAUCAUCUAAUGUGUCCUCUUCAUGGUAUGUUAAUGUCCCUCCGAAAAGAGCUAAAAAUAAUGAAUGUUUGUCAAACAUAGAAGAAAAUCCAUUUCCAAAGACGACCUAUAGUGAGAAGGGAAUAGGAGCAAAGCGUUCAUCCUAGAAAUUUAAAUGCUAAGU